CUCUCCUCAGGACUGAGGAGCUGCCUCCUCCUGCAAGGAUGCUUCUGCCAGCACAGGAAGCUGAUUCCAGAGACAGAGGAUCUGAAUUUAGUGUUAGAAGAAAGAAUGUAGUUCAUUGUUCACAGCUCAACUGAGGUAUUUCUGCACCGGCUCCUGCGUAGACAGUUUCUCUCACAGGUAUGAAAGGACAUAACAUCAAGGAUGGCUGAACAGAAGCAGAUUCUUCUGACGUUUGACUGCAACUAGGACAACCUGAUGCCACCAAGGCAACCACAGGGAAGGCACGAGAUACACUGUGCAUGUGGGUGUGAGGUGUGAAGACAGAGGGAUCAAGCUGUUCUUCAUCAGUGCAAAAGGGAGGUUCUGAAAUGAGUAAGACUACUU